GCGGAUAUGGUGGAAUUGGCAGACACGCUAGAUUCAGGUUCUGGUGGGAAACCGUGCAGGUUCAAAUCCUGUUAUCCGCA
rnacentral:tRNA from 1 species